rnacentral:rRNA from 1 species
AUUGAACGCUAGCGGGAUGCUUUACACAUGCCAGUCGAACGGCAGCGCGGACUUCGGUCUGGCGGCGAGUGGCGAACGGGUGAGUAAUGUAUCGGAACGUGCCCAGUAGCGGGGGAUAACUACGCGAAAGCGUAGCUAAUACCGCAUACGCCCUACGGGGGAAAGCAGGGGAUCGUAAGAGCUUGCACUAUUGGCGCGGCCGAUAUCGGAUUAGCUAGUUGGUGAGGUAACGGCUCACCAAGGCGACGAUCCGUAGCUGGUUUGAGAGGACGACCAGCCACACUGGGACUGAGACACGGCCCAGACUCCUACGGGAGGCAGCAGUGGGGAAUUUUGGACAAUGGGGGCAACCCUGAUCCAGCCAUCCCGCGUGUGCGAUGAAGGCCUUCGGGUUGUAAAGCACUGUUGGCAGGAAAGAAACGUCGCGGGCUAAUACCCCGUGGAACUGACGGUACCUGCAGAAUAAGCACCGGCUAACUACGUG